CUCUGGCGCUAGUUCCCGGCUUUGCGUGCCGCCAGAGAUUAGUACUCUUACAAGAGGAAACCAAGAGGAAC
rnacentral:ribozyme from 1 species